rnacentral:tRNA from 1 species
GGAGUGGCUCAGUUGGUAGAGCAGCUGAUUCGUAAUCAGCAGGUCGUCGGUUCAAGUCCGAUCUCC